UACGUAGGGGGCGAGCGUUGUCCGGAGUUACUGGGCGUAAAGGGCGUGCAGGCGGUGCGGUAAGUUUAGAGUGACAGUAUCCGGCUUAACUGGAUAAGGCCUCUGAAAACUGCCGGACUUGAGGGCCAGAGAGGGACAUAGAAUUCCGGGUGGAGUGGUGAAAUGCGUAGAUAUCCGGAGGAAUACCAAAGGCGAAGGCAGUGUCCUGGCUGGCAACUGACGCUGAGGCGCGAAAGCUAGUGGAGCGAACAGG
rnacentral:rRNA from 1 species